UACGUAGGGUGCGAGCGCUGUCCGGAAUUAUUGGGCGUAAAGGGCUCGUAGGCGGUUUGUCGCGUCGGGAGUGAAAACACUGGGCUUAACUCAGUGCUUGCUUUCGAUACGGGCAGACUAGAGGUAUGCAGGGGAGAACGGAAUUCCUGGUGUAGCGGUGAAAUGCGCAGAUAUCAGGAGGAACACCGGUGGCGAAGGCGGUUCUCUGGGCAUUACCUGACGCUGAGGAGCGAAAGUGUGGGGAGCGAACAGG
rnacentral:rRNA from 1 species